AGCAGCCGCGGUAAUUCCAGCUCCAAUAGCGUAUAUUAAAGUUGUUGCAGUUAAAAAGCUCGUAGUUGAAUUUCGGGGCUAGUAGGUUGGUCAUGCCUCUGGUAUGUACUGGUCUCACUGAUUCCUCCUUCCUGAUGAACCUUAAUGCCAUUAAUUUGGUGUUUUGGGGAAUUUGGACUGUUACUUUGAAAAAAUUUAGAGUGUUUAAAGCAAGCUAACGCUUGAAUACAUUAGCAUGGAAUAAUGAAAUAGGACGUUCGAUCCUAUUUUGUUGGUUUCUAGGAUUGACGUAAUGAUUAAUAGGGAUAGUUGGGGGCAUUAGUAUUCAAUUGUCAGAGGUGAAAUUCUUGGAUUUAUUGAAGACUAACUACUGCGAAAGCAUUUGCCAAGGAUGUUUUCAUUAAUCAAGAACGAAAGUUAGGGGAUCGAAGACGAUCAGAUACCGUCGUAGUCUUAACCAUAAACUAUGCCGACUAGGGAUCGGAUGAUGUUAAUUUUUUUAAUGACUCAUUCGGCGCCU
rnacentral:rRNA from 1 species